GCUACUGACCGCACACACAUCUACUGACCGCACACACAUACUGACCACACAUUCUGCUAUGUCUGCCGUACACACAGCUACUGACCACACACACCUACUGACCCCACACACCUACUGACUGCACACAGCUACUGACCACACACUCCACUAUGCCUACCGCACACAGCUACUGACCACACACACCUACUGACCACACACACCUACUGACCACACACAGCUACUGACUGCACACAGCUACUAACUACACACAGCUACUGACCACACACAGCUACUGACCUCACACAGCUACUGACCGCACACAGCUACUGACCGCACACACCUACUGACCACACACAGCUACUGACCAAACACAGCUACUGAGCACACACAGCUACUGACCGCACCGGAGGGUGGUUGGAGUGAUUAGGGAGUGUGGUUGGAGUGAUUAGGGAGUGUGGUUGGAGUGUUUAGGGAGUGUGGUUGGAGUGAUUAUGGAGUGUGGUUGGAGUGAUUAUGGAGUGUGGUUGGAGUGAUUAGGGAGGGUGGUUGGAGUGCUUAAGGAGUGUGGUUGGAGUGCUUAAGGAGUGUGGUUGGAGUGAUUAUGGAGUGUGGUUGGAGUGAUUAGGGAGUGUGGUUGGAGUGCUUAAGGAGUGUGGUUGGAGUGAUUAAGGAGUGUGGUUGGAGUGUGGUUGGAGUGCUUAAGGAGUGUGGUUGGAGUGAUUAUGGAGUGUGAUUGGAGUGAUUAGGGGUGGUUGGAGUGUUUAGGGAGUGUGGUUGGAGUGAUUAUGGAGUGUGGUUAAAGUGUUUAGGGAGUGUGGUUGGAGUGAUUAUGAAGUGUGGUUGUAGUGAUUAUGGAGUGUGGUUAAAGUGUUUAGGGAGUGUGGUUGGAGUAAUUAUGGAGUGUGGUUGGAGUGAUUAGGGGGUGUGGUUGGAGUAAUUAUGGAGUGUGGUUGGAGUGAUUAGGGAGUGUGGUUGGAGUGAUUAUGGAGUGUGGUUGGAGUGAUUAGGGAGGGUGGUUGGAGUGCUUAAGGAGUGUGGUUGGAGUGCUUAAGGAGUGUGGUUGGAGUGAUUAUGGAGUGUGGUUGGAGUGAUUAGGGAGUGUGGUUGGAGUGCUUAAGGAGGGUGGUUGGAGUGAUUAUGGAGUGUGGUUGGAGUGAUUAGGGAGUGUGGUUGGAGUGAUAAGGGGUGGUUGGAGUGAUUAGGGAGUGUGGUUGGAGUGAUUAGGGGUGGUUGGAGUGAUUAGGGGUGGUUGGAGUGAUAAGGGGUGGUUGGAGUGAUUAUGGAGUGUGGUUGGAGUGAUUAGGGAGUGUGGUUGGAGUGAUAAGGGGUGGUUGGAGUGAUUAUGGAGUGUGGUUGGAGUGAUUAGGGAGUGUGGUUGGAGUGAUAAGGGGUGGUUGGAGUGAUAACUGGUGUGAACUGGUUUGGAUUGGUGCAAACAGGUUUAAACUGGUUUGACCUGGCGUAAUCUGGCGUAAUCUGGCGUAAUCUGGUGUAAACUGGUUUAAACUGGGGUAAACUGGUGUAAACUGGUUUAAACUGGGGUAUGAAUAAGGAGCUGCUCUGCCUUACUGGAACUUUUACUGUAAAAUAAACUUAAUCUGUUUAUUUUUAUAUUAAAACUGUAAUUAUGUCUGUAUUUAACCAAUGUAAUUAAUACUGUAAUUAAGUAAGAAAUAAAUACUGAUUGGUUUCUAAA